CCUACGGGGGGCAGCAGUGAGGAAUAUUGGUCAAUGGACGAGAGUCUGAACCAACCAAGCAGCGUGAAGGAUGACUGCUCUAUGGGUUGUAAACUUCUUUUAUAAAGGAAUAAAACGAGGCACGUGUGCCGUUUUGAAUGUACUUUAUGAAUAAGGAUCGGCUAACUCCGUGCCAGCAGCCGCGGUAAUACGGAGGAUCCGAGCGUUAUCCGGAUUUAUUGGGUUUAAAGGGAGCGUAGAUGGGUUGUUAAGUCAGUGGUGAAAGUUUGCGGAUCAACUGUAAAAUUGCAAUUGAUACUGGCAGUCUAGAGUACAGUUGAGGUAGGCGGAAUUCGUGGUGUAGCGGUGAAAUGCAUAGAGAUCACGCAGAACCCCGAUUGCGAAGGCAGCUUACUAAACUGUGACUGACGUUGAGGCUCGAAAGUGUGGGUAGCAAACAGGAUUAGAUACCCGAGUAGUC
rnacentral:rRNA from 1 species